UACGGGGGGGGUAAGCGUUGUUCGGAAUUACUGGGCGUAAAGGGCUCGUAGGCGGCCAACUAAGUCAGACGUGAAAUCCCUCAGCUUAACUGGGGAACUGCGUCUGAUACUGGAUGGCUUGGAUUCGGGAGAGGAAUGCGGAAUUCCAGGUGUAGCGGUGAAAUGCGUAGAUAUCUGGAGGAAUACCGGUGGCGAAGGCGGCAUCCUGGACCGACAUUGACGCUGAGGCGCGAAAGCGUGGGGAGCAAACAGG
rnacentral:rRNA from 1 species